UNUGGUCUGUCACUGACGCUGAGGCUNGAAAGCGUGGGUAGCGAACAGGAUUAGAUACCCUGGUAGUNCACGCCGUAAACGAUGAGUGCUAGGUGUUAGGCCCUUUCCGGGGCUUAGUGCCGGAGCUAACGCAAUAAGCACUCCGCCUGGGGAGUACGACCGCAAGGUUGAAACUCAAAGGAAUUGACGGGGGCCCGCACAAGCGGUGGAGCAUGUGGUUUAAUUCGAAGCAACGCGAAGAACCUUACCAGGUCUUGACAUCCCGAUGCUAUUCUUAGAGAUAGGAAGUUACUUCGGUACAUCGGAGACAGGUGGUGCAUGGUUGUCGUCAGCUCGUGUCGUGAGAUGUUGGGUUAAGUCCCGCAACGAGCGCAACCCUUAUUGUUAGUUGCCAUCAUUAAGUUGGGCACUCUAGCGAGACUGCCGGUAAUAAACCGGAGGAAGGUGGGGAUGACGUCAAAUCAUCAUGCCCCUUAUGACCUGGGCUACACACGUGCUACAAUGGUCGGUACAACGAGUUGCGAGCCGGUGACGGCAAGCUAAUCUCUGAAAGCCGAUCUCAGUUCGGAUUGGAGGCUGCAACUCGCCUCCAUGAAGUCGGAAUCGCUAGUAAUCGCGGAUCAGCACGCCGCGGUGAAUACGUUCCCGGGCCUUGUACACACCGCCCGUCACACCACGAGAGUUUGUAACACCCGAAGUCGGUGAGGUANCCUUUUAGGG
rnacentral:rRNA from 1 species